AGUGAACGCUGGCGGUAGGCCUAACACAUGCAAGUCGAACGGCAGCACAGUAAGAGCUUGCUCUUACGGGUGGCGAGUGGCGGACGGGUGAGGAAUACAUCGGAAUCUACUUUUUCGUGGGGGAUAACGUAGGGAAACUUACGCUAAUACCGCAUACGACCUACGGGUGAAAGCAGGGGAUCUUCGGACCUUGCGCGAUUGAUUGAGCCGAUGUCGGAUUAGCUAGUUGGCGGGGUAAAGGCCCACCAAGGCGACGAUCCGUAGCUGGUCUGAGAGGAUGAUCAGCCACACUGGAACUGAGACACGGUCCAGACUCAUACGGGAGGCAGCAGUGGGGAAUAUUGGACAAUGGGCGCAAGCCUGAUCCAGCCAUACCGCGUGGGUGAAGAAGGCCUUCGGGUUGUAAAGCCCUUUUGUUUGGAAAGAAAAGCAGCAGGUUAAUACCCCGCUGUUCUGACGGUACCCAAAGAAUAAGCACCGGCUAACUUCGUG
rnacentral:rRNA from 1 species